CAGUAGCCGCGGUAAUACGAAGGGUGCAAGCGUUACUCGGAAUUACUGGGCGUAAAGCGUGCGUAGGUGGUGGUUUAAGUCCGUUGUGAAAGCCCUGGGCUCAACCUGGGAAUUGCAGUGGAUACUGGGUCACUAGAGUGUGGUAGAGGAUAGUGGAAUUUCCGGUGUAGCAGUGAAAUGCGUAGAGAUCGGAAGGAACAUCUGUGGCGAAGGCGACUAUCUGGGCCAACACUGGCACUGAGGCACGAAAGCGUGGGGAGCAAACAGGAUUAGAUACCCGUGUAGUCCCUGUCUCUUAUAC
rnacentral:rRNA from 1 species